rnacentral:lncRNA from 1 species
GCUGGGGUUGUAGAUUCUCCUCCAGUAAUCAUGAUUAGCUAGGUUUAGUUAGCUAGGUUUCUAGUACCACGUAUAGUAUCCCUCUUGUUGAGUGGGUCUUAAGUCCAAUUAGAUGACUUGGGUUACUUCUAAGGUAUAUAUACCACUGUGGUAUUUUGGGGGUUAUUGUAGCAUGCUAGCCACUAAUGUGGUUCAUAGGUUUCAUAUCUGGGUUCAUAGCUCGAAACUACUGUUUCCCUUCCUCCUUUGGGUGUUUCCAUACUGCUGUCUUGGUACAAGAACUGCUAGUCCUCAGGGAGAUGACAUUAAGUUCAUUUCCAGGUGUAGGCCCUAGUAUCUUUAUCUACAGAGAUUUAGCUUCUACCUCUGGGUAUAACCAAGGCAACAUCAAUAGGAUAUUUGUUUGUUUCUGGUAUAGCCCUGACAAACAAUUCAAAUAAGGACUUCUGUGUCUAGUAUUGUGCUUCUGUUAGGUGAUCUUUGGCUCUUGUAGGGAGCACCAUCAUCCUAGGUGAGAAAAGUUCAUUAAAACUAUACAUGUAUAUUCAUAUAUGGAAUUUCAUGUGUUAUAGAGUUUUGU